UAAUUAUACUGUGAAACUGCUGAAUGGCUCAUUAAAUCAGUUAUCGUUCUAUUUGAUAGUACCUUACUACUUGGAUAACCGUGGUAAUUCUAGAGCUAAUAUAUGCUAAAAACCCCGACUCCGGGAGGGGUGUAUUUAUUAGAUAAAAAACUAAUGCCCUUCGGGGCUCCUUGGUGAUUCAUGAUAACUUAACGGAUUGUAUGGCCUUGCGCCGGCGACGGUUCAUUCAAAUUUCUGCCCUAUCAACUUUCGAUGGUAAGGUAUUGGCUUACUAUGGUUUUAAUGGGUAACGGGAGAUUAGGGUUUGACUCCGGAGAGGGGGUCUGAGAAACGGCUACUAUAUCUAAGGAAGGUAGUAGGCGUGUAAAUUACCCAUCCCCGACACGGGGAGGUAGUGAUAAUAAAUACUGAUAUAGGGCUCUUUCGGGUCUUGUAAUUGAAAUGAGUACAAUUUAAACCCCUUAAUGAGAAACAAUAGGGAUAGUCGGGGGUAUUAGUAUUCAAUUUUUAGAGGUGAAAUUCUUGGAUUUAUUGAAGACUAACUACUGCGAAAGUAUUUGCCAAGGAUGUUUUUAUUAAUUAGUGAACGAAAGUUAGGGGAUUGAAGGAUGAUCAGAUACCGUCUGUAGUCUUAACCGUAAACUAUGCCGACUAGGGAUUUGGGCGAUGUUACUAUUUUGACUCGCUCGGUAC
rnacentral:rRNA from 1 species